UACGUAGGCAGCAAGCGUUGUUCGGAGUUACUGGGCGUAAAGGGUGCGUAGGCGGCUUUUUAAGUCUGGUGUGAAAUCUCCCGGCUCAACCGGGAGGGUGCGCCGGAUACUGAGAGGCUAGAGUGUGGGAGAGGAAAGUGGAAUUCCUGGUGUAGCGGUGAAAUGCGUAGAUAUCAGGAGGAACACCGGUGGUGAAGGCGGCUUUCUGGACCAUAACUGACGCUGAGGCACGAAAGCGUGGGUAGCAAACAGG
rnacentral:rRNA from 1 species